AGUUAAUAGUUGAAAAAAAACGUUGUAUCUUGAAAAUAUAAAAAAAAAUUAAUAUUUUAUUAACUU
rnacentral:tRNA from 1 species